rnacentral:rRNA from 1 species
AUUGAACGCUGGCGGCAGGCCUAACACAUGCAAGUCGAACGAGUGGCGGACGGGUGAGUAAUGUCUGGGAAACUGCCUGAUGGAGGGGGAUAACUACUGGAAACGGUAGCUAAUACCGCAUACCAUCGGAUGUGCCCAGAUGGGAUUAGCUAGUAGGUGGGGUAAAGGCUCACCUAGGCGACGAUCCCUAGCUGGUCUGAGAGGAUGACCAGCCACACUGGAACUGAGACACGGUCCAGACUCCUACGGGAGGCAGCAGUGGGGAAUAUUGCACAAUGGGCGCAAGCCUGAUGCAGCCAUGCCGCGUGAAUGAAGAAGGCCUUCGGGUUGUAAAGUUCUUUAGUUAGGGAAGCGUUACCUGAAGAAAAAGCACCGGCUAACUACGUGCCAGCAGCCGCGGUAAUAC